AUAUCCAGUUUCAGGCACAGUUGGAUCUAGGGCUCAUACACUCUCCUUAGGACUCAGUUCCUUUUCAUUUUUCAGCUCUUCCUUCAUUGUGUUAGCUCCAUUGUCAGGGAGGUAGAGUCUCCACUCCUGGUGGCAAGAUAGCUGCUAGUAGCUGUAGGCUCAUAUUCACUCUGUUCCAUUAAUCUCCACUCAAAAAAAAGAUACCCACCCCACUUCCAAACCCAAUUCCAAAAAAGUACCCUGAUUGUAUCUCACAGGCUCUGAUUGGGUCAUUUUUUAUUCCAGCAUCAAUCUCUGUGUCCACGGAGAAGAAAUAUACUGAGUUACAGGCCCACUCAUAGGCAAUGAGCUAAGCCAGCUCUGUAUCAAUUGAUAGGUGGGCAGAGUGAAUCCCAAGGGAAUUCAGGGUCCCCUGACUGAAAGAAAGCAAAAGGGUACAGGGAAAGCAAAACCACAAGAUUCCUUUAUGCUCUACUUUUGGAAGAGAUGAUGACGCUGGUCAAAAAGGAAAGAGAAGCAAUAAUUACAGGAGCAGGGAUGCACUUUAUGCUGGAAUCUUUUAGUAGCUGACAGUUAUACAUGCUCAGGUUCCCAGUUGACCGCAAUUGCAACCAAUUUCCUCUUGGGUGGUAGCUCAUAUUUACAACUUCAAACAACUCAUAGGGAGGGACUAGGACCUUCUUGAAAGAGAAGUCUUGUAUAGGUGCACCCAAGCAGGUAAAUACGGUAAAUAGAGUUUGGUUCCCAAACUGCUG